rnacentral:rRNA from 1 species
GACAGAGGUGCCGAGCGUAGGCGGAAUCACUGGGCUUAAAGCGUGUGUAGGCGGGCGGGCAAGUACCUUGUGAAAUCCCACGGCUCAACCGUGGAACGGCUGGGUAUACUGCCUGUCUUGAGCCAACUAGGGGCGAGCGGAACAGACGGUGGAGCGGUGAAAUGCGUAGAUAUCGUCUGGAACGCCAACGGCGAAAGCACUCUGCUGGGCCGACACUGACACUGAGAGACGAAAGCUAGGGGAGCGAAUGGG